UUAAACUCGAUUGUGAUGUUCAUACCAUAUAAUCAUUUAUUUAGUAUAUGUGGCAUGUAUUAACAUAAACGUCGUAUAGUUAUUAACUUAUUCUCAUACAUUUGAUGGUUUCCACCAUAUUAAUGUAUACAUGGUGUAGGUGGCAAACUUUUUUCCAAAAUAUAUAUAGCUAGAAAGUCUUUUAAUCGUCAAAAUUGAGCACAAAAGUUUUUUUUUUUUUGAAAAAUACUGAGCACAAAAGUUAUUAGUAUCUUUUAUAUCUAGAGAUGAUUCUUGAGACUUCACAACAACAAUCGUGUAAUGGUUGUGGCCUUAUAGAUUGGUUAUGAAAUGUGUCCACUCAGGCACUCAUGAGUUCGAUCAAAUAUAUUUUAAAUUAACUCAAAGUUAUUUAUUUUUGGAUGCUCUAUGUGAUAGUGGUGAUAUAAAAAAGGUAAUAAUAUAUAUCCGACCGAUCUCUCCCGUGCACAAUGGCACUAGUGGAAUGUAACACCGCAUGAGAUCACGCCACAAUGGCAGUAGUUGCCAACAGAUUACAUCAACAAUGAGAAAAGGAAUAGUUCUCAUUAGGAAAUGUCACAAUGGCAGCCCAUACAAACUGGCAUUUUUCAAGUAUGUGUGUAUAAGACAUGUAUUGAAAACUUUCAUUCUUUCAAAAAGUAUUUGAUUUUUACAUUAAUUACAAUCUUCAUUGAAGAUUUAUUUGUAAUAUCUAAACAGCUAAAUAGGAUUUUUGAUCAGCAGUGAAAUGUAAACAUAAUCUUGCCCUUUCAUAAUUUAUAAGACUAA
rnacentral:lncRNA from 1 species